AGCGAACGCUGGAGGCAGGCCUAACACAUGCAAGUCGAACGAAGUCUUCGGACUUAGUGGCGGACGGGUGAGUAACACGUGGGAACGUACCUUCUGGUUCGGAACAACUCAGGGAAACAUGAGCUAAUACCGGAUGAGCCCUUAGGGGGAAAGAUUUAUCGCCGAAAGACCGGCCCGCGUUAGAUUAGCUAGUUGGUGAGGUAAAGGCUCACCAAGGCUACGAACUAUAGCUGGUCUGAGAGGAUGAUCAGCCACACUGGGACUGAGACACGGCCCAGACUCCUACGGGAGGCAGCAGUGGGGAAUCUUGCGCAAUGGGCGAAAGCCUGACGCAGCCAUGCCGCGUGAAUGAUGAAGGUCUUAGGAUUGUAAAAUUCUUUUACCAGGGACGAUAAUGACGGUACCUGGAGAAAAAGCCCCGGCUAACUUCGUGCCAGCCGCCGCCGUAAAAC
rnacentral:rRNA from 1 species